UCACGCUUUUUUGGGAUUCUAUUUUCUUUAUUUUUUGAGUUUUCUUUUUCUCUUCACUACGCCGAGAAAAUCGUUCACCUCCAUAACUCCGUCUUAAUUCCGGUUCAAUUCUGAUGACUCAAUCGUAGCAAGGACGAUCGGCUAUGCUUGAUGGGAAGUUCCUGGUUGAUGUGAGGGCAGUCGCAAUUCUCGUGGGGAAGCUAAGAGAGGAGAGGACGUGGUCCGUCCACAGCAAAGAGUCGUUCGUCGUUGUCGGCGGCUGAGAAUUUCGUGGCGGCGUAGAGUUGAGCCACGAGAGUCUUCGAUUAAAGAAGAUAGCGAAGGAGUCAAGCGCAAUGGAAGACACCGUAUCCUUUCUCGUGCUUGAACUGAACAAACUCCUUUUUACUCUUAACUUCUUUUCUAAUCCGUCGAAAUCCCCCAAGGUCUGAUAACUCUUCUCACUCAGAAGCAACAUGAAAUGGAUUGAAGACAGCGCUUACUGCCAGAGCUUUGAAAAAAGAUCCAAACUUUUACACCCAUUGACUCGUACAAUUAGUUUUAGAAAGAUGGAGUGGUAUUCGUAUUAACAGAGAUACUAGAAUAGGGAACAGAUGCAUCCCAUGUAACAAGAAAGUUUGCUUACAGAACAACAAAUCGAGAGAUGCAUCUUUCUCUUUAUUUUGUUUUGUUUCAGGCCUCAAUGCGUGGGAAAAGCAGGGAGACGAAAGCAAACAUGAGGAUCAAAGAGGCUUUACCGGGUUGCGACGAGUGUGUUGUUACUAUAUAUUCAACUAGCGAGGAGACGAAUUGUAUUGGAGAUGAUGGAGAGUUUGUUUGUACAAGAGAACGUCAUCGAAAGAUUAUUCUCCAAUGGUUGAUGUCGAAGGUAUCUCAGGUCUUUUACUGGAUAUUGACGUGAACAAUGAAACGGAAACAAAAAAUUCUUAAAUCUCAAUGUUCUGCUCUCUCCCAUACGUCCUUGUGGCCACAAAAGUCCAGUUGUUAAUGGACCCAUUGAAAGCAUUUCUGAUCUUGCUUUAGAUACAUUAGCUGAAGGCUUGGUGGUUAGCGUAUGUCUUGGUGGCUCAUUUGGAUUUGGAUAUGUUCUGUAUUCAAUUAUUAAUCAUGUUCCUUGGCUUGUAUGUUACAGUGUGUAGGUGGAACUCUGUGCAUAAGUAGUUUGGAGGGGAUGUGAUAAAGAAUGAUUUUGUGGGCCAUGACAGUUUUCUUAUGCUUUUUAUUUGUAUUUUGAAUGUGUAAAAUUUAAUAUUUUGGUUUUAUAAAGUUUUACGAGAUUGAAACA